UAUAUUUAGGUGUAUGGGGCACGGGGAUUUUUGAUAUCCUUGGGUAUGGUUUGAUUCCAUAAAAUAUAA
rnacentral:tRNA from 1 species